rnacentral:rRNA from 1 species
CCUACGGGGGGCUGCAGUGGGGAAUAUUGGACAAUGGGGGCAACCCUGAUCCGGCCAUGCCGCGUGUGUGAAGAAGGCCCUCGGGUUGUAAAGCACUUUCAGUGAGGAAGAACGCCUGGUGGUUAAUACCCAUCAGGAAAGACAUCACUCACAGAAGAAGCACCGGCUAACUCCGUGCCAGCAGCCGCGGUAAUACGGAGGGUGCGAGCGUUAAUCGGAAUUACUGGGCGUAAAGCGCGCGUAGGUGGCUUGAUAAGCCGGUUGUGAAAGCCCCGGGCUCAACCUGGGAACGGCAUCCGGAACUGUCAAGCUAGAGUGCAGGAGAGGAAGGUAGAAUUCCCGGUGUAGCGGUGAAAUGCGUAGAGAUCGGGAGGAAUACCAGUGGCGAAGGCGGCCUUCUGGACUGACACUGACACUGAGGUGCGAAAGCGUGGGUAGCAAACAGGAUUAGAUACCCCUGUAGUC